ACACCAUCUUUGGCUAACAAAUAAGCUGAAAGCAAAGCAAUAACUCCAACACACCAACCACUAAUUCACUUCAAUUCAACAGUAAUUUGUCAAAGACUAAUCAGUUUUGGUAUUAAAAACAAAAGGAUCGAUAGUCAUUCAUUUCAAUUCAUCACUAAUUUCAAUUCGGAAGUCUUUUCGCUAGAUUUCUUUUUUUUUUUUACCAAUUUUCUUAGUUUCCUAAUUUAUGUAGUUUCCAAUAUAAAAAUAUUAAUCUUGUAUACAUAUAAUUAAUUGUGUU
rnacentral:lncRNA from 1 species